AUUGAACGCUGGCGGCAUGCUUUACACAUGCAAGUCGAACGGUAACAUAAGAAAGCCUGCUUUCUUGAUUACGCGUGGUGAACGGGUGAGUAAUACAUCGGAACGUACCCUGUAGCGGGGGAUAACUACUCGAAAGAGUGGCUAAUACCGCAUACAACUUGAGGGUAAAAGUGGGGGACCGCAAGGCCGCACGCUAUCGGAGCGGCCGAUGGAAGAUUAGGUAGUGGGUGGGGUAAAGGCCUACCAAGCCGACGAUCUUUAGCGGGUCUGAGAGGACGAUCCGCCACACUGGGGCUGAGACACGGCCCAGACUCCUACGGGAGGCAGCAGUGGGGAAUUUUGGACAAUGGGCGAAAGCCUGAUCCAGCAAUGCCGCGUGAGUGAAGAAGGCCUUCGGGUUGUAAAGCUCUUUUGUUUGGGAAGAAAUCCUUAAGGCUAAUAUCCUUGGGGGAUGGCGGUACCAAAAGAAUAAGCACCGGCUAACUACGUGCCAGCAGCCGCAGUAA
rnacentral:rRNA from 1 species